GACGAACGCUGGCGGCGUGCUUAACACAUGCAAGUCGAACGGAAAGGCCCUGCUUUUGUGGGGUGCUCGAGUGGCGAACGGGUGAGUAACACGUGAGUAACCUGCCCUUGACUUUGGGAUAACUUCAGGAAACUGGGGCUAAUACCGGAUAGGAGCUCCUGCUGCAUGGUGGGGGUUGGAAAGUUUCGGCGGUUGGGGAUGGACUCGCGGCUUAUCAGCUUGUUGGUGGGGUAGUGGCUUACCAAGGCUUUGACGGGUAGCCGGCCUGAGAGGGUGACCGGCCACAUUGGGACUGAGAUACGGCCCAGACUCCUACGGGAGGCAGCAGUGGGGAAUAUUGCACAAUGGGCGGAAGCCUGAUGCAGCAACGCCGCGUGCGGGAUGGCGGCCUUCGGGUUGUAAACCGCUUUCGCCUGUGACGAAGCGUGAGUGACGGUAAUGGGUAAAGAAGCACCGGCUAACUACGUGCCAGCAGCCGCGGUGAUACGUAGGGUGCGAGCGUUGUCCGGAUUUAUUGGGCGUAAAGGGCUCGUAGGUGGUUGAUCGCGUCGGAAGUGUAAUCUUGGGGCUUAACCCUGAGCGUGCUUUCGAUACGGGUUGACUUGAGGAAGGUAGGGGAGAAUGGAAUUCCUGGUGGAGCGGUGGAAUGCGCAGAUAUCAGGAGGAACACCAGUGGCGAAGGCGGUUCUCUGGGCCUUUCCUGACGCUGAGGAGCGAAAGCGUGGGGAGCGAACAGGCUUAGAUACCCUGGUAGUCCACGCUGUAAACGGUGGGUACUAGGUGUGGGGUCCAUUCCACGGGUUCCGUGCCGUAGCUAACGCUUUAAGUACCCCGCCUGGGGAGUACGGCCGCAAGGCUAAAACUCAAAGGAAUUGACGGGGCCCCGCACAAGCGGCGGAGCAUGCGGAUUAAUUCGAUGCAACGCGUAGAACCUUACCUGGGUUUGACAUGGAUCGGGAGCGCUCAGAGAUGGGUGUGCCUCUUUUGGGGUCGGUUCACAGGUGGUGCAUGGCUGUCGUCAGCUCGUGUCGUGAGAUGUUGGGUUAAGUCCCGCAACGAGCGCAACCCUUGUUCACUGUUGCCAGCACGUUAUGGUGGGGACUCAGUGGAGACCGCCGGGGUCAACUCGGAGGAAGGUGGGGAUGACGUCAAGUCAUCAUGCCCCUUAUGUCCAGGGCUUCACGCAUGCUACAAUGGCUGGUACAGAGAGUGGCGAGCCUGUGAGGGUGAGCGAAUCUCGGAAAGCCGGUCUCAGUUCGGAUUGGGGUCUGCAACUCGACCUCAUGAAGUCGGAGUCGCUAGUAAUCGCAGAUCAGCAACGCUGCGGUGAAUACGUUCCCGGGGCU
rnacentral:rRNA from 1 species